AGUGAACGCUGGCGGCAGGCCUAACACAUGCAAGUCGAGCGGCAGCGCGGGGGCAACCCUGGAGGCGAGCGGCGGACGGGUGAGGAAUUCGUCGGAAUCUGCCUUUUUGUGGGGGAUAACGUAGGGAAACUUACGCUAAUACCGCAUACGUCCUACGGGAGAACGUGAGGGACCGCAAGGCCUCACGCAGAAAGAAGAGCCGACGACCGAUCAGCUAGUUGGUGGGGUAAAGGCCCACCACGGCGACGAUCGGGAGCUGGUCUGAGAGGAUGAUCAGCCACACUGGGACUGAGACACGGCCCAGACUCCUACGGGAGGCAGCAGUGGGGAAUAUUGGACAAGGGGCGCAAGCCUGAUCCAGCCAUGCCGCGUGUGUGAAGAAGGCCUUCGGGUUGUAAAGCACUUUUGUCCGGAAAGAAAUCCCUGGAGCUAAUACCGUCGGGGGAUGACGGUACCGGAAGAAUAAGCACCGGCUAACUUCGUG
rnacentral:rRNA from 1 species